AUGAUGAUGAUUUCAUGGAUCCACCACAGCAGAAUCAAGCAACUGGACGGAGAAAAGAGGAAGAAGAAACGUACUCACAACAGGGCCUCCCAGGAACGACUGACUUCAUUGACUGACAGAUUUACCGACGAUCAGAAGGGAGUUGCUGCUGAGAUGGGUAUGCAGGCUAUGAUGAAUGUCCGGUGCACGAAUCUAGUCAACCCUAUAUGCGACCGGCUUGGUGAGAUUUACGACCCCGCCUCUAGGGAAUUUGUGAUUCCGGAACGUGGAAGACUGCCGUUGAACGAGGAAUCCGUGUUCUGCACUUUGGGUGUGCCCCGUGGACAAAUCAAAGUCCCGUAUGAGGUCAAUAACAAGAUCGAGGAAGCGUCGUUCCCCCAUUUGUUUCCUGGGUUGGAAUCCAUGUCGAACACGUCUGUACUGGCAAAACUGAAAAAUGUGAAGAACAUGAAUUGGUAUAAGUUCAUUGCCGACUUCCUGCAUGAUGCAUUCUCAAGCAAGAUGUACCAGAAGGGUUGUCGACUCACUAUGAUGCUCAUGUACGUUGACUGUCUUGAUCUGUCCACCGUGGAUUUCACUGGGACAGGAGGCCCGCCGCCUACACACAAGUUUGCUGUUUCUACGUGGACUAUCGAUGCUGUCAAGGCUGUGCUUGCUGCAGACAGGGUAACUGAUACCAAAUACGGAAAACUGCAGCUGAUGGCCAAGCAUGCUAUAGACUAUAGCGUGUUUGGGGGCCCUCAAAACUUUGGAAAGUGGAUGGAUGUGCACUCAGCUCCGUCUUGCCCUAUUGAGGGCACCUGUUGA
rnacentral:rRNA from 1 species